rnacentral:rRNA from 1 species
UACGUAGGGUGCGAGCGUUGUCCGGAAUUAUUGGGCGUAAAGAGCUCGUAGGUGGCUUGUUGCGUCUGCCGUGAAAGCCCGUGGCUUAACUACGGGUCUGCGGUGGAUACGGGCAGGCUAGAGGCUGGUAGGGGCAAGCGGAAUUCCUGGUGUAGCGGUGAAAUGCGCAGAUAUCAGGAGGAACACCGAUGGCGAAGGCAGGUCUCUGGGCCGAUACUGACGCUGAGGAGCGAAAGCGUGGGGAGCGAACAGG